rnacentral:sRNA from 1 species
GAAGUUUAAGGUUGGCACCUCCAGGUUGCCACGGCACACGAAACAGCGUUGGUCCCCAUAUACCGGUAAACUGAAACUGCAGCGAAGCAGUUAGCAGAACCAUGUAUAUCAGGUCUGUUUCGUGUGCUGAAUUGUUGACGCAUUUAUUUAUUGGUAUCGC